CCCGAACACCCACCGAGAACACCACGGCAGGAGCGGGGGAACCAGGUAAGUCGCCGCACCGGUCCAGCCGGGCCGUGCCCAUGGGCACGCUCCGGACAGACCGGUACGGCUUGGGGUGAAGUCGUGUCCGUGAGGGCACGACCGGGCAGCUCCCGCCCGAACCCGACAGCUCACCUCGCAGGCGACGGAGAGGAACUUC
rnacentral:sRNA from 1 species